rnacentral:misc_RNA from 1 species
AUUGGCCUAGUCACCCUCUUGUGAGUUUAGAAACUAAGGAUAAAGAAACUUGAUAGAAAAGCCUAUGCAACACUAUUGCAUAGUACAAAUAAUUGAAAGGACAAAGAAACUUGAUAGAAAAGCCUGUGUAACACUAUUGCUUGCUUCUACCAAUUGAAGAAAGUUCUGAAGCACUAACCAACCCAAGAACACUCAACAUGGGAGUCAAGGAGAACUUACUAAGAACAGCGCUAGCACAACAGAAUCCCAGUAAGCAAACCAUAGAUGAAAGGUGAAACAUAAGGUUCCUAAAUGGA